rnacentral:rRNA from 1 species
ACGCUGGCGGCGUGCUUAACACAUGCAAGUCGAACGAUGAAGCCUGGCUUGCUAGGUGGAUUAGUGGCGAACGGGUGAGUAAUACGUGAGUAACCUACCUUUAACUCUGGGAUAAGCCUGGGAAACUGGGUCUAAUACCGGAUACGACCAAUCUCCGCAUGGGGUGUUGGUGGAAAGCGUUAUGUAGUGGUUAUAGAUGGGCUCACGGCCUAUCAGCUUGUUGGUGAGGUAACGGCUCAUCAAGGCGACGACGGGUAGCCGGCCUGAGAGGGUGACCGGCCACACUGGGACUGAGACACGGCCCAGACUCCUACGGGAGGCAGCAGUGGGGAAUAUUGCACAAUGGGCGCAAGCCUGAUGCAGCGACGCCGCGUGAGGGAUGACGGCCUUCGGGUUGUAAACCUCUGUUAGCAGGGAAGAAGAGAGAUUGACGGUACCUGCAGAGAAAGCGCCGGCUAACUACGUGCCAGCAGCCGCGGUAAUACGUAGGGCGCGAGCGUUGUCCGGAAUUAUUGGGCGUAAAGAGCUUGUAGGCGGUUUGUCGCGUCUGCUGUGAAAGGCCGGAGCUUAACUCCGUGUAUUGCAGUGGGUACGGGCAGACUAGAGUGCAGUAGGGGAGACUGGAAUUCCUGGUGUAGCGGUGGAAUGCGCAGAUAUCAGGAGGAACACCGAUGGCGAAGGCAGGUCUCUGGGCUGUAACUGACGCUGAGAAGCGAAAGCAUGGGGAGCGAACAGGAUUAGAUACCCUGGUAGUCCAUGCCGUAAACGUUGGGCACUAGGUGUGGGGGACAUUCCACGUUUUCCGCGCCGUAGCUAACGCAUUAAGUGCCCCGCCUGGGGAGUACGGCCGCAAGGCUAAAACUCAAAGAAAUUGACGGGGGCCCGCACAAGCGGCGGAGCAUGCGGAUUA